ensembl:lncRNA
GGACUGCCCUCACAGCCCAGCCGCAGGCCGAGUCCCGACCCGCCCCUCGGAAGCCGGAGCAGGCCUGUGCUGAUCGUGCUGCAUAGGAGGACGCGCCGUGGAACUCCCAUCGCUUCCGCACAGACGCUCUCACUCCAUCCAGCCACUAAUGCGAGGAUGGCAGCGUCUGAGCGUCUGCGUGGGAUGGGCCCCGUGAACGCGCUCAGCGCUGCGAGGUGGCACCCAGGCUCCAGCCCAGAGCAACCAGGCGCAGCCGGACGUGCCAGAGGGCCGGGGCGUGUCCCCAGAGCCCCAGGGCCAGCGGGGCCCGGGCGGCAGAGGAGGAGCGCACAAUGCUCUCCACCAGCACUUCUGACUGAGAAACUCAAACGAGUUUCUGUUCCCUUUCCAGGACUUAGAACGAACAGAAAACCAAACAUUUCACCAGAGCCAUUUGCUUCUUCUCCAGGAAAACACCUGGCAGGACUUAUCUCCAGGGCCGCUAGCUGACUGCACAACGAAUGCACAAUGCACAACGGCGAGUCUUUCCAGAACCGUGCUCUUCUUGUCCCGAGCCCCACACCCCUGUCACAGACAGGAGGAGGAUGCUUCAAAGCUGCCACUGGAGACGGAGACAGCACAUGGUUGUUGUGGAAAAGUCUCUUUCAGGCAACACCUCUCCAUCAUCCACACCAGCCUGGCCUCACCAUCCCUGCUGCCGUACCCUCCCAGGCCUCCACUACCACUGGACCUCACGACUGGAGCAGCUUCCUAACCAGGGGGCCAGCCUGAGGCUGUUCCCCCAAAUUAUUUCCAUCUUUCCAACCACCUUUCUAAAGCAUUCCUUAGCUUAUACACAGGUAGAUAUUAACUGGAAGAUAAAAUCCAACUUAUUCAGCGUGAUGUUCCAAUCUCUUGACAGUCUUCCAACUGGAUCAAGGACCCAUUCAUUUUUGUCUCCUGAUGUCUGUCUUCCCUACCAGGCUUCAGGUAACAUUUAAGUAACUAUGCUUGUGAUUGCUUAAAAAUACAUUCAGGCCAGGCACGGUGGCUCAUGCCUGUAAUCCCAGCACUCUGGGAGGCUGAGACAGGCAGAUCACUUGAGGUCAGGAGUUCGAGACCAGCCUGGCCAACAUAGUAAAACCCUGAAAAAUACAAAAAUCAGCCCGGCAUGAUGGCGUCCACCUGUAGUCCCAGCUACUCGGGAGGCUGAGGCAGGAGAAUCACUUGAUCCUGGGAGGCGGAGGUUGCAGUGAGCUGAGAUGGUGUCACUGCACUCCAGCCUGGGGGACAGAACAAGACUCCAUCUCAAAAAAAAAAAAAAAAAGCUCAUGUUAUAAAAUCAUCUUCCCUACUAAAGAGCUCUUAUGCAAACAUGGGAUUUUACUGUAAGUCAGACGUAAUUGCAUAAAGUAAUGAAGAAAUCAAAAUUUACAUUCAAAUGACACACUAAUGAUAAGUCGUUUUUGGCUAUUCCUUAAUUCAGAAGGCUUCUCACCCUAUCCCCCUCUGAAACAUAACCUGUUUCAGGCCUCCUGCAGAUGCUUGUGGCCAAAACCACCUUAUUUACUUUUGUGGUGGCUGUUCUUGCUGGGGCUUCAUAAAUGUUGGUUGAAUCGAAAUAAAAUGAUGGUCCUUUCAUUUCUUUACUCAGAAAUAUUUACUUAUUACGUGGACCACAGAAUUCGGGACAGUUAUUGUGAGUAGUUCCUGAUUCUCUUUGUGUCUCGAGCACUUACAUAGAAACUAUUUUUCAAAUACGUGUGUAGUUAUUACAUACAAAUAAUACAUUAGAAAUUCAUUUUUAACAUUCAUAAAAUUCAGUAGAAUAUGAUCAUUGGAUAGUUUCACAAUCAAUGAAUUCUAAAGGCAAUGUAAACUUAUGAUCACAAUGGUUAUUAGGAUUUCCAUUUAUGUGGACUAGAUGUAGACUAG